rnacentral:rRNA from 1 species
GACGUAGGGGGCGAGCGUUGUCCGGAUUUAUUGGGCGUAAAGGGUUCCUAGGCGGCUGAGAAAGUCGGGUGUGAAACCUCCAGGCUCAACCUGGAGACGCCACUCGAUACUGCUCUAGCUAGAGUCCGGUAGGGGCGAACGGAAUCUCCGGUGUAGCGGUGAAAUGCUUAGAUAUCAGGAGGAACACCAAUUGCGAAGGCAGCUCGCUGGGACGGUACUGACGCUGAGACGCGAAAGCGUGGGGAGCGAACAGG